UACGAAGGGAGCUAGCGUUGUUCGGAAUCACUGGGCGUAAAGCGCACGUAGGCGGAUAGUUAAGUCAGGGGUGAAAUCCUGAGGCUCAACCUCAGAACUGCCUCUGAUACUGGCUGUCUUGAGGUCGGGAGAGGUUGGUGGAAUUCCUAGUGUAGAGGUGAAAUUCGUAGAUAUUAGGAAGAACACCAGUGGCGAAGGCGGCCAACUGGCCCGAAUCUGACGCUGAGGUGCGAAAGCGUGGGGAGCAAACAGG
rnacentral:rRNA from 1 species